UACGUAGGGUGCGAGCGUUAAUCGGAAUUACUGGGCGUAAAGCGUGCGCAGGCGGUUUUGUAAGCCAGAUGUGAAAGCCCCGGGCUUAACCUGGAAAUGGCAUUUGGGACUGCAAGGCUUGAGUGCGGCAGAGGAGACUGGAAUUCCUGGUGUAGCAGUGAAAUGCGUAGAUAUCAGGAGGAAUACCGAUGGCGAAGGCAGGUCUCUGGGCUGACACUGACGCUCAUGCACGAAAGCGUGGGGAGCAAACAGG
rnacentral:rRNA from 1 species